rnacentral:rRNA from 1 species
GUCUAUGGCCAUACCACUCUGAAAGUGCCCGAUCCCAUCUGAUCUUGGAAGCUAAGCAAGGUCGGGUCUGGUUAGUACUUGGAUGAGAGACCACCUAGGAAGAAGACCAGGUGGUGUAGAUG